AACGAACGCUGGCGGCAGGCUUAACACAUGCAAGUCGAACGCACCGCAAGGUGAGUGGCAGACGGGUGAGUAACGCGUGGGAAUCUACCCAGAACUUCGGAACAACUGAGGGAAACUUCAGCUAAUACCGGAUACGCCUACGGGGAAGAUUAUCGGUUCUGGAUGAGCCCGCGUUGGAUUAGCUAGUUGGUGAGGUAAUGGCUCACCAAGGCGACGAUCCAUAGCUGGUCNGAGAGG
rnacentral:rRNA from 1 species